rnacentral:lncRNA from 1 species
UUUUUUUUUUUGGCUUCUAAAAUGACCGGUACCUUAUGUCAACUGGGGAGAUUAAGCCAAAUACUUGUGUUGUAUGAGCCACUGGGUUGAAGAGCAAGAGAGAAAGGGUGGGCUUUUUCGUUUUUGUCCUUUGUGUGACUAUGAAAUGAGAAGCUAGAACACGUCACUCCGGCCACUUUGCCCAUGUGUAGAACUCAGUCUCUUUUAACUGCCCAGAGGAUCUUCCAGAUGAACCUCGGAAGGAAAUGCCUCUGUUCCCUAAGGAGUCUUGGAUGGCAGCUUCAGCCACUUACGUUAGAAAGGCUCGCUCGUGGCAAUCUUUAUUUCGCACCCCGUGUUACCGGUAAUGAUACCUUUGGUUCUCCUAACUGCAGAAGCUGCAAACUCAAAAGGGUUCAGAUUUAGCCGAGCAGAUCUUGGAGGGAAUACCACUAGGAGAGUUCUGGUGGGUUUUUUUGGGUUUUGUUGGUUUUGCUUUUUUUCAUCCACUGUGAUCUUCCAGUUCAACAUUGAGUUAGAGAGGAGACGAGGGACGGAAUCUGAAAGCUCCUUUGGUGGCCGUUUUCUGCAGCCCGUGGGUUAGGUCAGGAAAGGAAUUUGCAGGGAAGCGUUGCCGUGCGGAGGAUGGGCAUUAGUACCUAGGUCCUGGAGUCCUCUGUACUGAGUCCUUGACUGGACUGUCUUCAGGUCUCCUUCAGCAGAAAACAGUGGCACUGCUUACAUGUCCCCAGCAGCUUCUCUCUGGUCACUUUGAUCCACUCGAAGUCAGGGUCGCUGAUGCCCCUUAUCUCUUUUUUUGGAAAAGAACAAAGCAGGCUUCUUGCCCAGUACAUUCAGGGCCCUCUGAGCAGCAUCUUUUUACACUAGUACCUUGUCCAGAUAAGAAUGUCACUCAAGCUGACUUCUAGAUGGCUGUGAGGAGUCCCCCGAAUGACUGAGUAGCCACUCCAUCUUUUCACACCGUUCGGGAUCCAUCCAUAAACACAGCUUGGCACAUUCACUGUUAUUGGCAGAAGACAACCCGAGAGAGGUCGUGACACUUUCCCAGGGAGCAGAGAGCAAGACACACAGGAUCAGGAUCCAGCCUCGCAGGCAGGAU